rnacentral:rRNA from 1 species
UACGGGGGGAGCAAGCGUUGUUCGGAUUUACUGGGCGUAAAGGGCGCGUAGGCGGCCUCCGCAAGUCAGUUGUGAAAUCUCUGGGCUUAACCCAGAACGGUCAGCUGAUACUGCGGGGCUAGAGUGCAGAAGGGGCAACUGGAAUUCUCGGUGUAGCGGUGAAAUGCGUAGAUAUCGAGAGGAACACCUGCGGCGAAGGCGGGUUGCUGGGCUGACACUGACGCUGAGGAGCGAAAGCGUGGGGAGCGAACAGG